GUUUCUGUAGUGUAAUGGUUAUCACGUUUGCCUGACACGCAAAAGGUCCCUGGUCUGAAGCCAGGCAGAAACA